CCCUUAGAUGUUCUGGGCCGCACGCGCGCUACACUGACGAUGGCAACGAGUUUUUCCUUCGCCGAAAGGUGUGGGUAAUCUUUUGAAACAUCGUCGUGAUGGGGAUAGAUCAUUGCAAUUUUUGAUCUUGAACGAGGAAUUCCUAGUAAGCGCGAGUCAUCAGCUCGCGUUGAUUACGUCCCUGCCCUUUGUACACACCGCCCGUCGCUACUACCGAUUGAAUGGUUUAGUGAGGACUCCUGAUUGGCGCCGCCGCCCCGGCAACGGAGCAGCGGACUGCCGAAAAGUUGUUCAAACUUGAUCAUUUAGAGGAAGUAAAAGUCGUAACA
rnacentral:rRNA from 1 species